GACGAACGCUGGCGGCGUGCUUAACACAUGCAAGUCGAACGGAAAGGCCCUGCUUUUGUGGGGUGCUCGAGUGGCGAACGGGUGAGUAACACGUGAGUAACCUGCCCUUGACUUUGGGAUAACUUCAGGAAACUGGGGCUAAUACCGGAUAGGAGCUCCUGCUGCAUGGUGGGGGUUGGAAAGUUUCGGCGGUUGGGGAUGGACUCGCGGCUUAUCAGCUUGUUGGUGGGGUAGUGGCUUACCAAGGCUUUGACGGGUAGCCGGCCUGAGAGGGCGACCGGCCACAUUGGGACUGAGAUACGGCCCAGACUCCUACGGGAGGCAGCAGUGGGGAAUAUUGCACAAUGGGCGGAAGCCUGAUGCAGCAACGCCGCGUGCGGGAUGACGGCCUUCGGGUUGUAAACCGCUUUCGCCUGUGACGAAGCGUGAGUGACGGUAAUGGGUAAAGAGGCACCGGCUAACUACGUGCCAGCAGCCGCGGUGAUACGUAGGGUGCGAGCGUUGUCCGGAUUUAUUGGGCGUAAAGGGCUCGUAGGUGGUUGAUCGCGUCGGAAGUGUAAUCUUGGGGCUUAACCCUGAGCGUGCUUUCGAUACGGGUUGACUUGAGGAAGGUAGGGGAGAAUGGAAUUCCUGGUGGAGCGGUGGAAUGCGCAGAUAUCAGGAGGAACACCAGUGGCGAAGGCGGUUCUCUGGGCCUUUCCUGACGCUGAGGAGCGAAAGCGUGGGGAGCGAACAGGCUUAGAUACCCUGGUAGUCCACGCUGUAAACGGUGGGUACUAGGUGUGGGGUCCAUUCCACGGGUUCCGUGCCGUAGCUAACGCUUUAAGUACCCCGCCUGGGGAGUACGGCCGCAAGGCUAAAACUCAAAGGAAUUGACGGGGCCCCGCACAAGCGGCGGAGCAUGCGGAUUAAUUCGAUGCAACGCGUAGAACCUUACCUGGGUUUGACAUGGAUCGGGAGCGCUCAGAGAUGGGUGUGCCUCUUUUGGGGUCGGUUCACAGGUGGUGCAUGGCUGUCGUCAGCUCGUGUCGUGAGAUGUUGGGUUAAGUCCCGCAACGAGCGCAACCCUUGUUCACUGUUGCCAGCACGUUAUGGUGGGGACUCAGUGGAGACCGCCGGGGUCAACUCGGGGGAAGGUGGGGAUGACGUCAAGUCAUCAUGCCCCCUAUGUCCAGGGCUUCACGCAUGCUACAAUGGCUGGUACAGAGAGUGGCGAGCCUGUGAGGGUGAGCGAAUCUCGGAAAGCCGGUCUCAGUUCGGAUUGGGGUCUGCAACUCGACCUCAUGAAGUCGGAGUCGCUAGUAAUCGCAGAUCAGCAACGCUGCGGUGAAUACGUUCCCGGGGCU
rnacentral:rRNA from 1 species